rnacentral:rRNA from 1 species
ACGAACGCUGGCGGCGUGCUUAACACAUGCAAGUCGAACGAUUUAGUCGUCGGUCAUCAGACGUCAGACGUCAGGGGAACGAAUGGAACUGAAGAAAGAACUCGCUUUAGCGAAAUCUAUUCCGAAACCCUUACGACCGAUGUCCGAUGACUGACGACCGAAUAGUGGCGGACUGGUGAGUAACGCGUGGGCAACCUACCCAUAAGAGGGGGAUAACAGCUGGAAACGGCUGCUAAUACCGCAUAAGCUUUUUAGGACACAUGUUUUGAAAAGUAAAGGAGGCUUUCCGCUUCCGCUUAUGGAUGGGCCCGCGUCUGAUUAGCUAGUUGGUAGGGGUAACGGCCUACCAAGGCAACGAUCAGUAGCCGGCCUGAGAGGGUGGACGGCCACACUGGGACUGAGACACGGCCCAGACUCCUACGGGAGCAGCAGUGGGGAAUAUUGCGCAUGGGGGAACCCU